AGAGUUUGAUCAUGGCUCAGGAUGAACGCUGGCGGCGUGCUUAACACAUGCAAGUCGAACGAUGACCUCCAGCUUGCUGGGGUGAUUAGUGGCGAACGGGUGAGUAACACGUGAGUAACCUGCCCUUAACUCUGGGAUAAGCCUGGGAAACUGGGUCUAAUACCGGAUAUGACUCCUCAUCGCAUGGUGGGGGGUGGAAAGCUUUUUGUGGUUUUGGAUGGACUCGCGGCCUAUCAGCUUGUUGGUGAGGUAAUGGCUCACCAAGGCGACGACGGGUAGCCGGCCUGAGAGGGUGACCGGCCACACUGGGACUGAGACACGGCCCAGACUCCUACAGGAGGCAGCAGUGGGGAAUAUUGCACAAUGGGCGAAAGCCUGAUGCAGCGACGCCGCGUGAGGGAUGACGGCCUUCGGGUUGUAAACCUCUUUCAGUAGGGAAGAAGCGAAAGUGACGGUACCUGCAGAAGAAGCGCCGGCUAACUACGUGCCAGCAGCCGCGGUAAUUC
rnacentral:rRNA from 1 species